AAUGUCAACAUGUAUGUCGUUUUGGAAUAUAGUCAAUAAUGGAGGAAAUCUCUUCCUGUAGAAACUGCAGUUUUUCUUCCACUCCACUAGGCGGCAAUAGCAAUGUUCAGCUUGAAUCAACACGAAUCAGGUGGGAAGACGUAGAACUUUAGAAGACAGCAGCACGCUCGUCAUGACAACAAUGAGGGAUGUGUUUGGACCGUACAGUCAACAGGCGCAAGCCUUUGGGGCGUUUGGACUACAUUUACUGGCGUGAUGGACAUCUGCUGCGGACAGGUCUGGAAACUUGUUUGGAAACAACAUGUUUAUACAUGUUCCGGGUUUUCCAGGACAUGUGGGCACCCUGGAUUGGAACAACAUUUGCUUCAGUUUAGUCAAGUUCAAUACUCUGUGUCUGCUGUUAAUGUGUGUCAGCUCCCUCAUGUGGACAACAGUUGAUAGAUCAAGUUUGUGUGUCUAAUGUAGCUCCUGAUCCUGAUGAGCCUCAGUCCAAUUAAAAACACCUGAAGCAACUAAUCAAGAUCUGCAGGACUCCAGUUCAUCUACAGAGUAUCUAAAUAUCCAAAUGAUUCUGUGUAUUUCAUGAAUAAUUAAUAAAGUUCUUCAUAAGAAUCAUGA